rnacentral:piRNA from 1 species
GAGGACAUGUAAAUCAAGUCAGAAGGGUCA